CCUACGGGAGGCAGCAGUGAGGAAUAUUGGUCAAUGGACGCGAGUCUGAACCAGCCAAGUAGCGUGAAGGAUGACUGCCCUAUGGGUUGUAAACUUCUUUUAUAUAGGAAUAAAAUGUUCCACGUGUGGGUUUUUGUAUGUACCAUAUGAAUAAGGAUCGGCUAACUCCGUGCCAGCAGCCGCGGUAAUACGGAGGAUCCGAGCGUUAUCCGGAUUUAUUGGGUUUAAAGGGAGCGUAGGUGGAUUGUUAAGUCAGUUGUGAAAGUUUGCGGCUCAACCGUAAAAUUGCAGUUGAAACUGGCAGUCUUGAGUACAGUAGAGGUAGGCGGAAUUCGUGGUGUAGCGGUGAAAUGCUUAGAUAUCACGAAGAACUCCGAUUGCGAAGGCAGCUUACUAAACUGCCACUGACAUUGAUGCUCGAAAGUGUGGGUAUCAAACAGGAUUAGAUACCCGAGUAGUC
rnacentral:rRNA from 1 species